GACCAGUAUCUGUAAAUGUUAAGCCACAAAAAUCGGUUGAAAUAUGAAUCGUGCAUGUUCUGCGCGUGUCUGUGUGAAUGAAUGAAUGGCAGAGACGUGCGGGUUUGUUUACUACAGACUGAAGCGCGUGACGCUUGCAGUAAUUGCAGCAUCUGCGUCUCAAUGAGGACAUAAAUACAUAAACAACAUUACCAAAACUGUUCUGAGUCACUUCACAAGCAUUUUACCGUUUCAUUUGAGUAAAACCAGUGUCAAUUUAAAGGUAUUCACGGCAACCCAGGGUUUCCCACACAAUGAUUUAUUACAAUAUCAAAACUGACCGCCACAAAUAGAUUUUUCAAAAGGCUUUGACUUCAUUGAAUAAACAUGAGCACUGCACGUUUCAAAAUCAAAAACCGAUGCGGGUGUUUUAAUAUCACUGUAUUUCAGAAGGAAACCGACUGUAUUUAGAACAUUUUCGAUUUCAUUUCAUUUUGCAUGUAAUGCUUGAUAAGGCAGCGUUUGUGAGCUCAGCGCUGCUUUGCAGCCGUUACCGGAGAAUCCUGUAUCUCUCCCGCUCUUAAAGCGCCUCCUGCUGGCAGAAAAUGAAUUCGCAUAUAUAUGUAUAUAUGGGGGCGGGGGAGUGCAAGGCUGUGGGAAACAGAUGGAAAGAGAGUGGUGCUAAGUGGUGUUUUGUUUUUUGCAAGACAAUCUUCAUGCCUUUGAAUAUCUUUUAAAAAGCUGAUUAUAAAGAUCUCUGCAAACUUGGGAUCUCGACUUAAUUAAUGUGCAGUGCUUCACAUUCACUAGUUUUGUAGCAUUUCGUAAUGUCAGUACUCAAACUCUGGGUCAAUAUGUCUUUAUGCUCUGUCUCUUCUCAAUAAUUGCAUGUGCACUGGACCGAGAGGAUCAUGCAUUAAAAACUGCAUCACCAGAAGCAACUUUUUGAAAGUACUGAAGGCAAGUCAGUCUUAGGAAUGAAUUGAUCAGUAUCAGAAAUUGUAAUUAUUCAUAAUCACUGUUGUAUUAAGAUGAUUGACCCUCACAAAAGAAAUAUUGAUUCAAAGGAGUUUUUACUUUCUUUCUUUAUUAUUUUAUUACUACUUUCUAAGAUUAUUUAGCGUAAAU
ensembl:lncRNA